ensembl:lncRNA
CUUGGAGAACACGUGCCAUUAUGAUAACUCAUCAUAGAUGUAUUGCAAUUGUAUAAAUAACCUCACUGAGGAGUUAAAAAGAAUCCCAGUGGCAUAGGCAGCUGGUCAGCUGGCUGCUGAAGGACAAAGGGAGAAUAUGCUGUUGGUGCACAACACGUCUGAUCUCAGAAGGCAAAAUCAGCUACAUUUAUCUAUUUGACAGUCCCUGCCAGGCUGACAUGGAAAUGUCUAUUUAUGCAUCUGAGGUGCCUCUCUCAGGAAACAUGAUCAACAUUUUCAUUUGCAUCCAGAAACAGAGCCUUGAAGGAAUACCGAGCACCUGGAACUGGAAAUCUCUCAGAGAUGGCAGAGAAAUACUGCACAGUUCUGGACGUCCUCUGGAUUUUCAAACAAGUUCUGAUGCCGUGUUUGGUUGUUAUGAGAAGGCAGAAGGUCCUUUUUCACUGCCACCGGGAGCAUGCCAGUUUUAUCAAAGCUAUCCAGGGGUACCAGACCUUGUAGAUGUUCACUAAAUGGCAUUACAUCACAUAUGCGCACAAACCUUACUGGCCAUGAAAAGAGAGAACCAAGUCUGGCUUCAGAUUCUGAAUUUUCCAACCGUCUGUAUAGCACUUAGCUCAUGUUCUUAUCCAGCCUUCACAUUUUUAUAUUUUCAAAAGGUUUGUCCUGUCAAGCAGACCUCUUUGGAGUUUGCAACACAUUUUAAUGUAAUGUCUAAACACUAAUCCACUAGCAUACUAGAGUGGCACUUUUUAUUACUUUAAAUAACCUCUUAGCCUACUGAUGCCUCUCUCAAUAUCCUGUGUUUCCACACACAGUUGAUGAAUAGAAUUAUUUGAGCUAAUCUGUGCUGUCCUUUAUUUCAGAUGGUACUUCUUGCAUGAUUAGCAAAGGACGCAUGGCUUAGAGAAGGGAAACAUAAAAUGCAAGGCAUGAUAUAAAUUUCAGUUUCUGUAACAUUUUUCCUUCAAGUUAUGUAAAAGUGUUUUUAUAAACAAUUUUACCUUAAGCUUAAGUGUGUCACUGUAGGAUUACUAUAGCAUUAUAGUAAUUACUCUGGGCAUUUUUGGCCAAAGCAAUGCAGUAUUUCAACGUAACACAUGUGAAAGCUGUGUUGGUUUGCUGUUUUUCCAUCUAUUCACAGCUUCCUUAAGAGCUAUCCCAGCACACAACAGGUAUGGGGUUCAAACCUGCUUUGCUUGCAUCAUUGGAAAUAAUCACAUUAUGAGAUGACACACACAUUUGUUUGGCUCUAAGGAAAUGCUUAGAGAAGGCCAGUUAAGAUGAUGGCUUGGCUGCCUUAUUUAGAAGGAAAAUUCUGAGUAUCUAGUACAUUAAGCUAUUCAUUAAAAACAAAAUCUGUCAUGUCUCUUCUCUCACUGUGCUCUCUCCUCUGUGCUCUUUGUUUCCCUGUUCCCAGCUUCCUGAUCCUUCUAUCAUUUCAUAUUUCCAUUCUACCAAUAUGUUGAUCUCUUUUCUCCUCUUUGCUACCCUAAUAAUUGCUCUUUCUCCUGUUCCUCUUCACUCUUCCUGUACUGUCUCCUAUCUUCCUUCUAUUUAACACUGCCAUUCACUCCCAGCUUCUCAUUUUAUGCCUAGCCAGCCUCUCUCUAUUUACGUUAUUCCUCUUCUAGAAGCAUAUAUGCAUGAGAGAAAACAGCUUUCUCAUUCUCCAGUACUUCAUGUAAGGAAACUGUGCCAUUACACAGUUUUCCAAAUCCAGUUCACAUCAAUGCCCCAUUCAUAAUGUACCUUUGGAAGCAAGGGAACAUCAUUUAUUUUGAAUGUCCCCAAGCUACACAGCUAUUCUAGACAAGAACUAACUCUGUGAGUGGCAUGCAUGAUGGUGCCUCCAUGGUAAACAGUAAGUCUUGCUCUUCUCUGAAACUCUUUGAGACAGCUGGAUGUGUAAAACAAGUUACACUGGGUCAAGCUUCACAAAAAGUGUUUUCCCCCUCCUCUCCUCAGUGUUAGGUUUGACUUUUAAAUUAUUAAAGCUACUGAUCAGAAGUAGUACCACUGGGCAAGGCCUGGGGCUUCAGAAUACAAUGAUAUCACAGGCAUGAAAGCAUUUCUUUUCUGCCACAGUGAAGCAAUAGAACAGAACCUAAAAUAACAAGUAGAAAAUCUAGCGACAGGACAUUAGAUAUUUCUCUUUGAUUUUUCUUCCUUAGAUGUAAAAUUCUUUAAAUAGGCCAGUAUGUAGGCAACCUCUUAUUUAACUAGAAUUAUGGAAAUUGUACCCACUCAGCAUGGAAACAUAUUGAGUAGCAACAGCUAUUUAUUUCAACUGAUUUUUUCUUCCAAUCAAUAGAUAUAACUCCCAGGUAUUGACUAUAAUCUAUAUAUUUAAAAAUAACAGCAAUUACUGCCAGAACAUUGAAUAGCUGCUUAUAAUGGAAAACAUACACAUUAUGAGAAAGGAGUUAUUGAAAGUAUAUGCAUUCUGCAGUACAGAAAAUCUAUUACUACACACAAAAUAACAAGCUACUUCAUGUUUCCAGUCAGAGCACCAGGAUAGUCCAUGACUGAUUAACUAGAGCACAAAUAAAAUUGUGAAUGUGAUGUACCAAAGUGCCACCACUGAUAUUCCUACAUUUCCUGUGUUUUGCUUAAAAGAAUCAGUCUAAGAGAAAGGUGGUUGGAUGAUGUUUACUUACAUUUAGACAUUAUUUAUGAAAUAUUAGCCAUUACCACAGGGCCUGUACAAGGACAGUACUCUGCGCCUAGUGCUUGCUAUUGCUUAGUUCGUAGAAUGACAGGUUGGAAGGGACCUCAAAGAUCAUCCAGUUCUAGCGUGGUUGGCAGCCACUAGAUCAGGCUGCCCAGGGCCCCAUCCAACCUGGCUUCGAGCACUUUCAGGGAUGGGGCAUCCACAGUUUCUUUGGGCAAUCUGUUCCAGUACCUCACCACCCUCUGAGUAAAAAAUUUCCUCCUAAUACCUAAUCUAAAUCUCCCCUCUUUUAGUUUUAAUCCAUUCCCCCCUUUUGUAUCACUGUGAGUCAGUUUCUCUCUUCUUUAUAAGCUCCCUACAAGUACUGGAAGGCCACAGUGAGGUCCCCCUGCAGCCUUUUUUUCUCCAGGCUGAACAAGCCCAAUUCUUCAACCUUUCUUCAAAAGAGAGGUACUGUGGCCUCCUCUGGAUCCCUCUCCAACAGCUCCACAUCUUUCUUAUAUUGGAGACCCCAGACCCAGACACAGUUGGCUAUAAAACUUUAGGUAACAUCUGCCACAGAAACUCAAUGGAAAACAGGCCAUAUGAAUAUGAACCUCUCCCUGAGGGCAGGUAAUUGGAUACGUUACACUGAUGUGUUUGGGUGUCAUUUUCAGUAUUAAUGUGAUUGGCAAAACUCUAUGGGUGUUUCAGAAAGAACUUUCCUACUUAAUGUCCAUGCAUAUGUUGCGAGCAUGCAACAAGCAUGGAAAAGCAUAGGUGAUUUAUUUUGCUGUGCUCAUGAAUUCACAAAACAAGAAGUUUGGGCCAGAUAUUCACAUUAUCCUAGAAAAAGCAAGUGAAGAACCUCACAGGAUAACACAGCUACCUGUGGAUUCAGGGGUUACAAUUUAUGGAGCACAGCCAUGAGCACUACAAGCCCUAAACCAGGUUGCAGCAAUGCUGACCCGAACGCAAGCAGGGCUGAGCAGGACACUCAACCUCCAGCUUAGCUAAUCAGGUUUCUCUACGUAGACCACAAGUCCAUAAAUCUCUGCACAGAUGAUAUGCUCAGCAGGGAGUUAAGUGGCUGACAAAGAGCUGAAUGGAAGCACCCCAUGGGAAAACCAGUGUAUCUACGUUGAGUUAUAUGUGGGCACAGCAGGGCAAAGGCAGUGUCAUCUCCUGCCAGGGGCUGUCUUAGCAACUGUGAUGGAAUUCUUUUCUCCAGAAAUGCUCAUUAGAUGUUCCAUUCUAAAAGAUAUUUAAGCAAACAUAGAGACGCACCUUUAUGACAUUAAUGUAGGUUGGGUUUCUCAAAUAGCAUUCCAUAAUGCUAACUGCUCACUUUUCCAGAAGAAGAAUAACUGUAGCAUACAGAAAUAAGUGAUUAUCCUAAAGGUAUAGUGAUCAUGCAGGACAGAAACAUCUAGAUAUAGACUAACUGCUUAGGGUGCUUCCUGGCCUAAAUUGCAGUAUCACAUCUAAUAUCCAGGAUGCAGAAGACAGUUAAAGGAUAGAAACAAUGUUCAUAAAAUAAAGUACUGAAAUGACUAUUCAAUUCCUAUUCUGUGGCAGAAAUUGUGAUGUUGGUUAUUAUUGGCCUUUCAUCCUUAAGCAAAUGUCUUUGAAAUACCACUCCUAAUGUGACUGAUGUGCCUCUGAAAUAGUUUCUUAAAUCAGAAUGCCUCCGUUACCAAUGUACAAUGGAGAUCCCUUCAGAGUUUCUGGUUUUUGUAUUAACCAGCUUUAUUUCUCAAUGUUUUUUUUUUUUUUUUUCCUCAAUGCUCUCUCUCCUCUGGUUAAGGUUUAGAAAUGCUUCUUACUGCAUCUAUGUAAGAACACAAGGCUCCAUAUAUAUUUUCUCUCAGUGAUUUUAUUCACUGAGAUACUCACUGAUAACACUGAUAAAUACUGAGAUUUAUUAAUUCUCAAAAUGGACUUCCAUUCUGAGAAAGUACAUUUACUACUUAAUAAUACAUAAUAAAAGUACAUAAUACUACUUCUCUGAAAGGGUGGUAGGGCACUGGAAUGGGCUGCCCAGAGAGGUGGUGGAGUCACCGAGCCUGGUGGUGUUCAAAGAGCGUUUGGAUGUUGUGUUGAGGGACAUGGUUUAGCAGGAACCAUUGGUGAAGGGUGAAUGGUUGGACUGGAUGAUCCUGUGGGUCUUUUCCAACCUAAGUGAUUCUAUGAUUCUAGGAUUCUAUGAUUUCUGCCUCUACUUCUUUUGAUAAUCCUACUAAUAAAGGCUAGUGUCAUUUAUUGGUAGGGAAUUCAAACAGUCAUAUUUUGAUGAUGAUGAUCUGCAGAAGAGAAAGUAUUUUGUUUUAUUUUUACUGUGGCAAUGGUGCUGCAGUACUUUUAUGCUAAGGAUAUUAGAAGGCAGAUAAUCAACAUGGAUAUUGCAACAACAGAUUUUUGAUUCUGAAGGAUAGAAAGAGAUGAACUAGUCCCACGCAACAUUUAGGUUUCUCCUCAGGUGUACAGGCUGUGCUAUCUCCUCCAUGUACAUAACUUACUUCUCUUUUGAAGGAAUCGUCAGGGAUUCCCUAGUAAAUUACCAAACUAAAUUCCUUGGGCCUUUCCAUUGCUGAGAUUAUGGAGCAUUAGUUAUCUACUGCCAGGUUAAGCUCUGUGAGCUGCUGAGGGCAUCUCCUAAUCAACUCUUAUCUCCCUAAAUGAUUGACUUAGAGACUAUGCUGUACUCCAAAGCAAACUUCUGUCUGCUGCGUAGUAAAUGUUUGACAAUCCUCAUUGAUUUCUAUUUACUUAAAUAAAGUAAUAAUCAAUUAAUGUGAAGGAAAAAAAAACCCAACAUCCUACAGCUACUACUACUGCCUUCUCUAGUGUGCAAAAUAUCUAAGACUCAGGGAAUAGCCAUCAUUCACUUUAUAUGCAACAGCUGGUUUUGUACACUGGUUUGGUAACAUUACUCCUCCCUGUUUUCCUUGCUCUGCCUGUAGCUGUACCUGUGGACACACUAAAAUGCGUAAGGCAAAACCAGUUUAUUUUAAGUGGUUCGAACUGUGGGUCUGAGCUGGGCUGGCUAAGUUUGCAAGUUUCAGGCUAAGGAGCAAUCACAUGAGGCACCCUGUGAGCAAACCCUCAGGGGCAGCGCUUGCAGCUGAGGGGUGCUAAUAGCAUUAGAAAGCAGAAAUGACACUAACCAGAACAGCUGGAUCCUAGAAGGUACCAUCCUGCUGCAGCUGUAAAACUUAUGCCUCAAUGAUCAUUAGGUGUGGGAAGAGCUAUGAUAUGAUGGGGAUAUGAGAUGGGGAAAAUUUCUGUAAAUGUCUUCAAAAAAGUUAAAAUAUGUUACUUCUAUCAAUUUGGUAUAUGCUGUCGUUUGAUUAAAAAAAUUGCCAGCUCAUAAACAGCCAAACUCUUGUACAUAUAGAAAGCAAAAAUAUUUUUAGUACUUAACCAUAAGCACCUCUAUGUGCAGUUUAUAAAUGAAAGCAUCAAGUCAAUAGCAUGUUUUAAAAUCCAAUGGUCAUUUGAUGGGCGUUUUCUUCCAGCCUCCAAGCCAGCUGAAGCGAUUCCCUUCCCUCCAAUGUGUGCUCAGUUGUACUACUCAAGGGGCUACUCCACAAAGCAGAUGAGCACAUCUACCUGCUUUAUAACGGACCUUGAGAGAGAAAAGGAGAUGGGUAACUUUCCUUGGUGACUAAACCAGUUCAGUGUUCAGUACAGAAAAACCUGUACAAGCAGAAUGUGAUGAAAAGGGGCAGAGACAGGUGAAAGGUUGUGGGCAGCUACCUAUCAUCAGCUUGGGCCACCAAGAACAAUACCCAUGGAAGUCUAAAUCCCACACCCUGCUCAGCACUGUUAUAGAAUCAUUAAGGUUGUAAAAGACCUUUAAGAUCAUUUAGUCCAACCAUCAACCCAUCGCCAACAUGCCCACUAACCAUGUCCAUCAGUGCCAACUAUCAACUAGAGUUGAUUAAUUUGCAUUAAUACUAAUAUAUAUAUUACAAAGUUAAAUAGUAAACAUAAUAAUUAAAUACUAAUAAUACGAUCCUUAAUUUAAUAGUCAUUUAAAACUUCUAUCAAGUAAAAGGAAUACUCAUGUAUACAUAAGGUAUUUUAACACCUUUAAAGAACUUCAUCUAGAAAUACAAAAGGAAUUCUUAUGCAAGGAAACAGACCCUUAUGAUUCAAUGCAGUUUGCCUGCUGAAUUAUUGAAGCAUGCCAGAAUAUCACCUAGAAGACUUCUCAGAAUUAGUCAUGCAAGACAUCAACCUGUUGUGCAAACACAUGGACACACAGCGUCAGACAAAACACAUGCUAACCUAACAUUGACUUAAAGCUGUUUUUUCUUCUGGACUUCACAAUGAGGGCUGCAGGUAUUUCUCCCCCUUCUCAAUGCUACACCAGAGCUCAGAGCAGAAGGCCAGUCAAGGUGCUCCUAGAUUCUUCUAGAUUGCACCACAACAUGGAUUUAUAUGUUAAAAGUGUAUGGCACCACUUCUGAAGUCGUGUGUGGCAUAUUAGAACAUAGAGGACUGGAGGAGAACUGCGAGAGACUGCUGACAAUGCCACCCCUACAAAGGAGAAGCUGUGUUGUCAGAAAUGAGGCUCAGGAGGAGGUUCAGCCAUCCCAUCAGCAUAACCUGUGCUGUAGAGGCAGCAACUGUGGCUGUAAUGUUUUAACUGCUAUCAUUUAAAGACAUCCAUGUCAGACAUAAACAAGGUUCUGCACGCUUAAAAAUUGUCUGCUUCUUCCAGCUACACUGGUCAGCACAAUAAAAGAUGAUGCCUCUUGCCUGCAAACCCACUUCUCUUAUUUUCCAUUCAUUUAUAAUUAAAAACAUGAGUUUAAAGCAAAGAAAAAAUAUUUUCCCAUCCAAAAAGAAAAAUCACACACAAAGUAAAUGAAAACAAGGAAUUGUAUGCUUCUUCCAGCAGAUAUGAAUAUGAGAAAGCUAAGAAUUGUAAUUAAAGUUGUACCUCUUACUAUUUUCCAGAGCAAAAUACAAAUUAGCUAAGUGGCUGCAAUUAAUUCUUUAAGCAAAGCCGCAGGAUGGGAUCACUGGGUCUCACUUUUAAUCAGAAAAACAUUAAAUUCUAGAAGGAUUAAAGCUACAGAAAGUUGCUGUUACGUGGUACAGUACUGAUCUAGCUUUACAAGUGAGUGAUGGGGAGCACAGGUGCAACAGACCGAAAUGCUGUUUUUCGUCACUCGGAGGGCACUACUUAAGAACAGUGGAAAAAAAGGGAUGUGUUCCAGCCGACAGCGGAAGAGCUGCUGUACUGAUUUUAGAGAUUGAUAUGACAUCUGGGCAAAGAUUUUAACAGCAGAAACGGUAGCACUGAUCUUAGCAGGCGUUAUCAUCUAUGAGAAAACAUUGUGGAAGCCUUUCUGGCUGUUAUUUUGUUAAACAAUUGUUGGAAAAAGAAGUUUCACGCCUGAUGGUUUUGUUCCAAGUAUUUAAUGACAAGCAAAGCUCUAGAAGAUCUCUCUCAUCAUCCUUCUGGACUCCGCUUUCUCAUGCAAACUGAGGAUGUUUAGGUUUUAAUAUGAAAUAAUUUACUCACAGUGCUCUCCUGCUAUUUUUCCUCCUUUGCAAAAAGGUAUUUUUUGAUACAUGGCUGAAGAGCCAAUCCAGAGAGUUGUCUUCUGAGCACAGCAGCUGAAUACAACACACAGUCGCGGAAUUAUUCCUCUCGAGAUACUCACAGGGAUGAGUUGGUAACGCUCUGCAUAUUGUUCUGAGCAUAAUGGGAAAUGCCAUCCAAGCCGGCAAGGGUGUAAAACUCUUUUUCCUGAUUGGUUGCUCAUCCCAAACUGCCUGGCAAAGGUUUGAAAUAUGCAAUGCAGGGAAGUGAUAUUCUGUGGCAUUCAUUCAAUUUACCUGCACUGCACUCCAGGGAGCCAUGCUAUUAAACAACAGCUCCAGCGGGUCAAUAAAGUUAACUUAAUUAAAUUGCUUUCCCUCCCACUUCUCCAACUAGCAAGAUUUAGGGCACAGGGAC